GUUUUCCCUCGGAUUUGGGCCUUUGUAUUUUUAACAAAGAAAUCCAUGCAAAUCCAUUCAAAUACAUUAUGAAAUCAAAUCUAUUAAUAAAUCCGUAUGAUUGAAUAACACUUGAUUUGAAUUAGAAUUUAUAAAUCAUUAAACGAAUAACACAUGAUUUCAAUAUGUAUUUUAAAAUCAUAGAACCAAUAACACUAGAUUUAAUUUGAAUUUUCAAAUCCAUCAAAAUACACCAACCAAUAACCCCCACUUAAUAAGGUUUAAUUGUUCCGGAAAAACUUAAUAAAUGCUCUUUGGUUUGCAAAGAAAAAGAUGUUUACGGCAACGAGUGAUGGGCCCCCUUUGGUUAUGUUAUCAUAAUGUCAUAAGGUGUUCACAUCGUGCCAUAUGAAUUAUGAUCUAUCGCGACUUUUUCUUAGUCUUAGUCAGAGGCGGAGGUACGCUGGUCUUAGUGUUUUCUUGUUCGUUUGCAUGAAAAGGAUGAAGUAACUAUAUUAAGGUCCACUGUCUACCCUUGGUUAUGUUUGAGAAUUGGAAAUGGCCAAACCUGUCGGUUUUGGAGCGAUAAUUGGAGUCCGUUUGGUUGCAUCUCUGACUUCUUGAACCUUCCUCCAUCCUCUCGUCUGGGAAUCUCAAGAACCGCUACUCUGUCAGACCUGAAUGAGAAUGGAAAUUGGCUGCUUCAUGCAGCAAGAUCGGAGGAGCAAGUUCAGAUUCAAGUAUACUUAUCAAGAUACUUAUCAACUAUCUUUCUCUCGGAGGAGGAAGACCAGUAUGAGUGGAUAAUCGAUGGUUCAAGGAGCACUACUUUUUCGACAGGAGCAGUCUACAGAGAGCUUAAACAUCACAAUCCGGUGGUGAGUUGGAGCAAGACAGUAUGGUGUCCAAGGGGUACCCCUAAACACAGCUUCCUUGCGUGGCUGUUUGUCCUGAACCGCUGCCCCACUAGAGACCGCCUGCUAUCCUGGGGGCUUAAUACACUCUCUUCCUGCCUUCUCUGCAACUCCGCUGACAAAAGCCGUAAUCAUCUCUUUUUUUACUGUUGUUAUUUUGACAGAUCUGGAACAUAAUUGGAACUAGAUCAGUUCUUUAUGCAUCUCCUUUGUGGGACCAGACUCUCUCUGCUCUUCAACAUCUGUCGGGACCGAGACAUGCAAAACUCCUAGUUCUCUUCGCGUGGCAGUGCACCAUCUAUCUCAUCUGGUCAGAAAGGAACGCUCGGUUGCAUAUAAGCAUCUAUCAGCCUCCAGACUCAAUCAUCUCCUCCAUUGCAGCUUACAUCAAAACAAAAAUAGCGGCGAUCAUCUUCAAUCUUCCAAUUCUGGUAUCGGUGAUCUCUAUCUUUCUGACUUCCUACUGGAUCAAAAUAUUUCCCACUUGAGCUUUUCUAAAUUGUGGUUCAAUUAUAUGGAACUAUGGAUUUGUGUUUGUAUUAAUGGACAAGGUCCACGAAACUGUCCGCUGGACCGAAGUCUUUUGUAAUUUGCUUUAUGUUUUAAAUAGAAUGUCUUUUUUCAAAAAAAAAAAACUAUAUAAAUGAAGUUAUGAUCUUAGCGUCAUUAAUUCAGGAAAAAAGUUUUGCCGGUGGGUUUGCCAUAAUCCACUAUAUACGGUUCAAUUUUGAUGGUAAAUUUAAUAAACCAAUCAAAACCAAUGUGCUUACACAGAAAAGUUCUAUUUCUGCCGAGCAAGAACACAUAAGAAUUAUUCUUUUUACGAUAUAUGUUGUUUCUACUUCUUAUUGCGUUUCAACCGAUUAAUAUUUCUUAACUAAUAGUGUAAAUGACCAAAAAAUAUCACAAUACUAAAAGGGAGAUAAUCUCAACAGAUAGAUGGUCCACGUAGAUUAGAAAAAUUAUCCAAUAAGGACCUUUCUUUUUGACGUGUCAUAUAUGGCUGAAAUAUAGUGAAUUUUUGUAUGGGUUUUAUGAAAAUUAUCACUCUGACCCAUCCCAGCCCAUGUAGAGAACAGACGGAGAAACCUUUUAUCGUUUCACGCUUUCUCCUCCGACUCUUCCACUUCAUCUUCUCCCAUGUAUAGAUUUGUUUGCUUUGCCAAACUUUAUCAGUUCUAUCCACUUCCCCUUGAUCCUUCUCCUAUAUAAAUCUCUAUGUACAAACCUAAAUCCACCCAAAAUCAAAACCUACUCUGAAGAAGUUACAUCCAUCGACACUUUAGUCUAAACCUAUCUGCACGAUCUCUACUUCUACUCUGCGACCGUCAAAUUGAAAAUGCAAUUCCUCCGGUAAAAGCUCAGUCACGGUCGUAGUUCCGUCACCGCUGAAUCAUCAUCAUCCAGGUUCUUACCUUGUGACGUCUCUCACCUUUGUCGAUCCAUCGAGAAUCUACUGUAAAAAAAAUCAGUUCCCGUUGAUGGAGAGAUCGUGAAGAAGGUUGGUCAAUCUGUUUCCUGUAAUCAAAAAAGUGAUUGGUCUUCUGAAGAACUAUGCUUUUGUGUGCGUGUGCGAGGUAUAUAAUUCACUUACAAACUUUAUAUUACAUGGAUAAGAUUCCAGAUUUGGUGUUUGGGUUUAUAUGUGACAUUUGAACUUAUGUGUGAUUUUUAAGCACAACGAGUGUUUGGGAAUAGAUGGACUGAGAUACAAAGGUGGAUUCAGGCAGGUAGAAUACUGGCUCUAAUGGUGCUUCAAGUCAUGAUUGUAGGAUCAAUCAUUAAUGUUUUAUACUUCUCUAUGUUUGUAGAAAGGAUAAGGCUGUGAACAGGUUUACGAGACUUCGUGUGAAGAGAGCCAAGCAUGAAACUAUGGCUAGCGAGAACAACUCAAACAAUAAAAGAAUGUUCUUCUUAGAUGGUAGUUGUACUCCAGCGAAUAUGAAACUCUUAUUGCCAAUAGAACAAGGAUCUAGCUCCAUGUAAGGUCUGAUUCUUUUCCCUUUCUAUGCUCCAAAGUUGUGAUCAAGCAUUUCUCUGACUUGAAAUCUGUGUUUAGUUCUUCUCUUCCAGGAUAGCUGCCUUACAUUACACGUUAUGUCUCCACAGUGAGUUAUUUAUGAGCAUCACAAGGUGGAAACUUUCCUCACUCCCUCAUGAGUGACUGGAGGACAAUCUAAAACUAUUAGUCUGGACAAGCGAAAGUUAACAAUCCUCUUUGACAACCCCAACAUCUGGUACUCACUUAUACUACAUCUUCAAGUUCCCCGUUUAAACUUCAAGAUAAAUUUUUUUUUUAUUGUUCUGUUUCUAUUGACCAUAGAAAAUGGAAGGAAAAAGCCUUUUGCUGGAUCCUUUUUAUGCAGAAGGAAUCGUCCGUCAGAAAAUGGAUCGAAACGGUGGCUAUUGAUGCAGCCAAAGACAUGGUACUGUCAAAGGAACAAUGGAUGUUAAAGAACUUGUGCUUUUACUGGCCAAAAACUCAAUGAACCAUCAAUCUCUUCUUCUGGUCAAAGACUGUGCCACCCCUCCCGCCUUAAAGAAAGAAGUCUCGGCUGCAGGAGAAAGAGACAAAGAAGGAAGGGAAGUUGGAGAGAAGAAAACAGAGGGUGGCUAGAAGAAGAAAGAAGUUGUUGACGGCAGAGAAGAGAGAAAACGAAAGAUGUUGGAGCUGGCAGGAAGAAGAAGAAAGAAGCCAGGCGUGGUGAGAAGAAGUGGGGUCAAAUCAUUGUCACACGUAAGAUUAUAAGUUCAUACAAGUAUAUGCAUUGUCUUAAAUUUUUCUGACGGACAUCUCUAUAACUAUAAUUUUCAACUACUACCAAAAUAAAACUUGGAAGGAACGAGAAAUAUUGUAUACACUCUAAUCUAAUAAAGUUAUAACUAUUAUUCUUAAUCUUUAAUUAUGCUAAACUCUUUUUACAUGCAAUUAUAAAAUAUAUGUACUUUCUCUUAAUUUAUGUUUUUCUUAUUGAGUACUCUUUCUUAUUUAGGUUCCAUGAAGAAUUUAAAAGAAAAUAGUAGAAUUCAUCUGUUUAAUUUUUUUCCUUCAACAUGAUUACCAAUUAAAACAAUAAAUUGUACAAAACAAUCAACCACCAUUUUUAUUAUUUAGUUUUCUUAGCUAAACAAUUAAAUAUGAUCUCCGUAAUAUGCUUUGUUUCAUGGCUUCCCUUCUUGAACGAUAUUCUCAGUACGGAGACUGCAAGCAAGGGUAUGUCUCAGUUUUUUUGCCUGCAACGUCCUUAGAUCUCUUAAUCCCAGUCAGCUCCAAAAUCAUAUCUUAAUCCAGUCACUGGAGUUAUUAUAACAAAGAAUCAUUAAAACUGCAAACCAACAUAAGAAAAAAGACUAAGCGUCAUUGUUGGUUUAAUAUGAUUUAAAUAUCAAGUUUUGGUAAUGGUUCGUUUAAAAAUUUUGUUCUUUAGUUUGGUCUGGUUUGGACAAUGAUAUUAUUUUACGUUUGGAUCAAUUUUUUUGAUUCAAUUUAUUUAUAUUAAGAAACUGUUCAAUUUGGUAUUAGAACUCAAUGAUUAUAUAGUGAAACAAAGUUUAAAUCAGUUGUAAAUAUUACAAUUGUUUUAUGCAAAAAAAAACAAAAUGUAUUUAAAUGAUAACCAUAUUUUGUUAGAUUUUACUCAUCUUACUUAUUAUCCUAUAUAUAUGAUUUUAAAUUUGUUAUAUACAAGACAAUGAAUACGUACAUACAACCAAAUUUUAUUUAUUUUUUUAUGAAUUUAACGUUAUAGUCGAUUGUAAUAUAUAUACACGGCUUAUGUUCAUAAAUAUAAACCUUUUUAAGUUAACUUAAAAUUAUACGAAUAUUCCGGGCGUAGCCCGGAAAAAUCCAUAGUAUUUUUAAUUGUUAAGCGUUUCCUUCUCUGGAUUUACACACAAAUAUUAAUACGUCACUAACAUGGCAGCAUCUAAACACCAUAAAUAGUGAAAUUUGUAUUAAAUAUUAAAUAUUUGGCAUUAUACAUUUCUGAUGGUGGAUCAUAUAUUGAAAAUUAUAAUAUUUGAAACGUCAUAGUUGGUUACAUGUAUUUAAAUCUUCAUGAAAAUUUGCAAGAAAAAAGAUAGUGAAAAGUCUUUGAGAAGUAUCAUCAAGGAGCACGCAUGCAUCUUGAACAGAAGUCAUGCAUAGUGUCGUCAAUAUGAUGUUUUACAUUUCUUGUCCUAUCAAUAUUUAAUAUUGUGUCAAAUUCAUAUUCAGAUACUUACAUUUAUACUUAUUUUAUACAAAUUCCAUCUGUAUAUUAUAUAUCCUUAAACUAUGCAUAAAUUCUAAUUGUCUGAUGUAUGCGUUUGCUAAAAUUUGUUGACACGAGACUUGUAUUAAGCUAUCUACUAUAUUUUACUAAUGAUUCAGGUUGAAUGAGAAAUGAAUGUAGAAGCUGUAACUUAACGGCACCAGAGUUCUUUAUUCCACCAACCAAGUUUGACUAUAAAAACACCAACUUGCAAGUAAUAUAUACAUAAUACAUGAUCCCUGCUUUUAUAUAACCGCAUGAUAUAAAGGAUACAAGAACUUCACUGGAAAUGACAUGUCAUUAUAUAUAUUGGUCACCAUGUUUUGUUUAUUAUUUAAAAAAUUCCAUCUAUUUUCCUUGAUUUGUGUUUGUCAUUUCAAAACAGACUCCAAUGUUGAUUAUUAUCAACCAGAAGACUGAUAGACAUUUUUUAACUCCAAAUAAAGAAGAAAUAAUCGGUGAUAGUCACACAAACACAUCAUAUUGGGCCUAUAAAUUGGUGUAAUUCUAUACAUCCAAAUAAUCAACUGAGUAAGUUCAAAAUUCGUGUGGUUACGCUUCUUCCAUAACAGAAGUAGGGCUAGACGUGUCGGAGGAAGAGGAACCCCUUCUGCUCGAGCUCGCCUUAGAAUGGAUUCCUCGUCAAGUCUGUUUGGAGGGUGUGGACACACUUAAUUGUUUGUAUUUCAUUCAUUCCAUCGGUAUGCUUCCAGGUACAUGUAAUUGUGAUCUGUUUACCAGAACCAAGGGUUUCUUUGGAAACCUUUACGAACAAUCGUCGUUUUUUUAAUGGUUUUUUCGCUUCUCACAAGAAUCGAAACCAACCAAUUACCAAAUCCACCUAUUACCGCUAGCAUAACCAUGAAAAUCAUUAAAAAAGCAUGAGCUGUUAUUAAAACAUUAUAAAGCGAGACUACACUUCUUUAAAAAGAAAAAAAUCGAUUUGCUCCCUUCGCACUCGUUUGUUUACCGCUUGCUCUCCUUAUUCCUGAUUAUACCGUUCGCAGGCAUUCCUGGUCAUUGAGCCGGUCACCGGUGGCUUCCUCACUUGUAAUGUGAAGCUGUUUUCCAUUUCUCAUUUUUGAGGAUAUCAAAAUUCUCUCUGGCAAAUACAACUAUUUUGAUCAUUUCUUCGCAUGUACCCGCAGUAGCAUUCAAAUAAUGCCUUUUGAUUUCACAUGUUUCAGUCUGUGCUUUAUAAAAUAUUACCUCUUUUUUUUUUUGAUCAACUGAAUAAUUCAUUAAUUAAAAAGGGGAUUAGUGUGAAAUUAGGCCCAACAGAAAGAGUUUGGUACAAAAAGAAGCCUUAGCAUAAGAAUUUGCAGGCCCAUUAAACGAUCUAGGAAUGAAAGAAGCUUGAAACGAAGAAAACGAAGAAGAUAGGAUGAGCGAUUCAAUGUCAGCUAGAACUCCAUCGUUGUCUCGCGCUGAUAGACUGGAUGAGUCCUUUGCAAUCUGAUCGUAGCCAGAUGUAAUCAAAGUUGAGUGAAGUAGCAUGCUCAAUGGCUGCUCUAAACGCUAGGGCUUCCGCCAUAAGCGGGGAGGAAACAUGAUCCGACAUGAUGCAACAUGAAGCAGUGAAUGCUGAUGUGAGCUCACGUGGCGUCCAUUUAAUUUAAGUGGAACCGACUCUUAGUGCUUUCAUAGGGUUAUUAUUGGGACCCAUCUAUGAUUCUUAAAAGAGUGGGCUCCUUCUUCUGACAGUAACAAAGAGAUUAGAUUCUGCUCUCACGGACGGUCACGAUGAUAUGAUGGAUUGUGUUGACGAGCCAUGACACGACUCGUGAUGCUUCAUUAGUUCUCUAAUGUGCAUUCACACUAUUAUAGUCAAAUUGAUGAUUAUCAAGCUUUGCAAAGAAACACUGCUUAAAGCCAUUCAUGAUUUCUUGUCCCUAAUCUAUGAUUGGUAAUUCAAUUAGAUUGUUAAUUGGUUACAUCAAAUUAUCUAGUGGAAAACACUGUAACCAAAUCCAUACAAAUAGUAUAGAGUUUUAGGUGGAUGUGCAGUGUAUAUAUUUUACACGGUUAAGUCCCCUCUAUAGUGGUUUCAAAAAGUUGAUGGAGUCAAUGUGUUUUUAAUUCACCAUUUCUUAAUCUCAUUCCAACACAAAUCGGAAUUCAAAAAAAAAAAAAUAUAUAUAUAUAUAUUCAAACGGAUCAAAAAUGUAGGUUAUUAUACAUUAUAACUCUCAUAUUCCAAGAGUGAGACAUAUGGAAUUACAAAGGCCAAUAAUCGUCACUCAAGUCUACAUGAAUCUGCUUUGUUUGCUGA